AGCAGCCGCGGUAAUUCCAGCUCCAAUAGCGUAUAUUAAAGUUGUUGCAGUUAAAAAGCUCGUAGUUGAAUUUCGGGGUCAGUAGGUUGGUCAUGCCUCCGGUAUGUACUGGUCUCACUGAUUCCUCCUUCCUGAUGAGCCGUAAUGCCAUUAAUUUGGUGUUGCGGGGAAUCUGGACUGUUACUUUGAAAAAAUUAGAGUGUUUAAAGCAAGCUAACGCUUGAAUACAUUAGCAUGGAAUAAUGGAAUAGGACGUUCGAUCCUAUUUUGUUGGUUUCUAGGAUUGACGUAAUGAUUAAUAGGGAUAGUUGGGGGCAUUAGUAUUCAAUUGUCAGAGGUGAAAUUCUUGGAUUUAUUGAAGACUAACUACUGCGAAAGCAUUUGCCAAGGAUGUUUUCAUUAAUCAAGAACGAAAGUUAGGGGAUCGAAGACGAUCAGAUACCGUCGUAGUCUUAACCAUAAACUAUGCCGACUAGGGAUCGGAUGAUGUUAAUUUUUUAAUGACUCAUUCGGCGCCUUACG
rnacentral:rRNA from 1 species